rnacentral:rRNA from 1 species
UACGUAGGGUCCGAGCGUUGUCCGGAAUUAUUGGGCGUAAAGCGUGCGCAGGCGGUUUUGUAAGCCAGAUGUGAAAUCCCCGGGCUUAACCUGGGAAUGGCAUUUGGGACUGCAAGGCUCGAGUGCGGCAGAGGAGACUGGAAUUCCUGGUGUAGCAGUGAAAUGCGUAGAUAUCAGGAGGAACACCGAUGGCGAAGGCAGGUCUCUGGGCUGACACUGACGCUCAUGCACGAAAGCGUGGGGAGCAAACAGG